rnacentral:rRNA from 1 species
CCCUUAGAUGUUCGGGGCCGCACGCGCGCUACACUGAAGGAAUCAGCACGUCUUUCUCCUUGUCCGAAAGGACUGGGUAACCCGCUGAACCUCCUUCGUGCUAGGGAUUGGGGCUUGUAAUUCUUCCCCAUGAACGAGGAAUCCCCAGUAAGCGCGAGUCAUAAGCUCGCGUUGAUUACGUCCCUGCCCUUUGUACACACCGCCCGUCGCUACUACCGAUUGGAUGGUUUAGUGAGAUCCUCGGAUUGGUCCCGGAGCGGCCUCUGGUCGUGCCGGAGUGCCGAAAAGAAUGUCGAACUUGAUCAUCUAGAGGAAGUAAAAGUCGUAACA